CAGUAGCCGCGGUAAUACGAAGGGGGCUAGCGCUGCUCGGAAUGACUGGGCGUAAAGGGCGCGUAGGCGGAUUGUUUAGUUAGGCGUGAAAUUCCUGGGCUUAACCUGGGCUGCGCUUGAUACUUGGUUGCUAGAGUGAGGAAGAGGGUCGUGGAAUUCCCGGUGUAGAGGUGAAAUUCGUAGAUAUUGGGAAGAACACCGGUGGCGAAGGCGGCGACCUGGUCCUUGACUGACGCUGAGGCGCGAAAGCGUGGGGAGCAAACAGGAUUAGAUACCCGCGUAGUCCCUGUCUCUUAUACAC
rnacentral:rRNA from 1 species